GCCCGCGUGGCACAAUUGGCUAGCGCGUGAGACUUUUAUAGACAGAGAUCUCAAGGUUGAGAGUUCGAGCCUCUCCGCGGGCG
rnacentral:tRNA from 1 species